GACGAACCGUGCGAACGUUGUUCGGAAUCACUGGGCUUAAAGGGCGCGUAGGCGGGCGAUCAAGUCAGGGUGAAUCCGUCGGCUUAACCGGCGAAGAGCUUUUGAUACUGGUCGUCUCGAGGGAGGUAGGGCAUACGGAACUUCCGGUGGAGCGGUGAAUGCGUAGAGAUCGGAAGGAACGCCGGUGGCGAAAGCGGUGUGCUGGACCUCUUCUGACGCUGAGGCGCGAAAGCCAGGGAGCAAGCGGGAUUAAGAAACC
rnacentral:rRNA from 1 species